rnacentral:rRNA from 1 species
UUAGAGUUUGAUCCUGGCUCAGGAUGAACGCUGGCGGCGUGGAUAAGGCAUGCAAGUCAAACGGCUCGCAAGAGCAGUGGCAGACGAGGUAGUAAUAAAUAGGUACCAACCCCAAAGUCAGGGAUACCUCAUCGAAAGAUGAGUUAAUACUUGAUGGUCACGAAAGUGUAAAGAUUUAUCGCUUUGGGAUGGGCCUGUUCAGUACCAGCUAGUUGGUAGGGUAAUGGCCUACCAAGGCUUAGACGCUUAGGGGACCUGAGAGGGUGACCCCCACCGAUGGAACUGAGAAACGGUCCAUACACCUACGGGUGGCCGCAGUCGAGAGUCUUCCGCAAUGGACGCAAGUCUGACGGAGCGACGCCGCGUGGUUGAUGAAGUCCUUCGGGACGUAAAAACCUUUUGCCAGGGAGAAAGUUUAUUGAUAGUACUUGGCGAAUAAGAGGUUGCUAAACUCGUGCCAGCAGCAGCGGUAAUACGAGUGCCUCAAGCGUUAUCCGGAAUCAUUGGGCGUAAAGGAUGUGUA